CAGCAGCAGCAACGUGAAAAGAGAGAAGAGAGGUAGGGUUCCAAAAAUUCACUAUUCAUCAUCUUCUUCUCAAGCUCAUAUCUUGAGCUAUAGAGCUCUGAUUUGUGUGCCGUCAGCGACUACGCAUUCUUUGUGAAGAGCUCUACAAAACCCAUAUAAGAAACUGGUUUGCUCUAAUCCUUGCUUAGCAUUGGAUUUUUGCUAUCAAAUCUGUUGAAAAAGUUUGAUUAUUGUGAGUUUGGAGCUUGUUGGUGCUUGUUGGAG